GGCGGCAGGCCUAACACAUGCAAGUCGAGCGCACUCUUCGGAGUGAGCGGCGGACGGGUUAGUAACGCGUGGGAAUAUACCCUUCACUAUGGAAUAGCCUCGGGAAACUGAGAGUAAUACCAUAUACGCCCUUCGGGGAAGAUUAUCGGUGAAGGAUUAGCCCGCGUAAGAUUAGAUAGUUGGUGGGGUAAUGGCCUACCAAGUCUACGAUCUUUAGCUGGUUUGAGAGGAUGAUCAGCAACACUGGGACUGAGACACGGCCCAGACUCCUACGGGAGGCAGCAGUGGGGAAUCUUAGACAAUGGGCGCAAGCCUGAUCUAGCCAUGCCGCGUGAGUGACGAAGGCCUUAGGGUCGUAAAGCUCUUUCGC
rnacentral:rRNA from 1 species